CUCUGAGGGCUGGAAGGGGUUAAAUCUCUAGCUCCGGCGCCGUGGGAGAAGUUGUAGUUAUUUAAUAUGUUUCCACUGACUGUGGAAAACAAGCAUGUGGCCCAGUUGUUGCUCAGUACUGGUACCUGUCCAAGAUGUAUCUUCAGAUUCUGUGGUGUGGAUUUUCAUGCACCAUACAAACUUCCCUACAAGGAGUUGCUCAAUGAACUGCAAAAAUUUCUGGAAACUGAAAAAGAUGAAUUAAUUUCAGAAGUUCCAAACCCACCUCCCAAGAAAAUUCGACUACAAGAACUAGAAGAUGGGAUUGAUGGGAUGGAUAAUCUGAGUCAAAAUGGAGAGGGAAAGAUCUUGAUUAUUGAAGAUGGAAGCAUUGCUUCCAAGAACUCAAAUUUAAAUGUAUGCAAUGUAUGCCUAGGAAUUCUUCAAGAUUUCUGUGAAAAAGAGUUCAUUAAAAAGGUGUGCCAAAAGGUUGAGGCCUCUGGGUUUGAAUUCACCAACUUGGUAUUGUCAAUCUCCUUCCCACCACAGCUAUCUGUAAGAGAGCAUGCUGCAUGGUUGCUGGUAAAACAGGAAAUGGGAAAGCAGAGUCUGUCGCUGGAAAGAAAUGAUACAGUUCAGCUAAAAGAAGCCUACAAAUGGAUAACUCACCCCCUGUUUUCAGAGGAACUGGGUGUUCCCAUUGAUGGAAAGAGCUUGUUUGAAGUGAGUGUGGUCUUUGCUCACCCAGAAACAGUUGAGGAUUGCCACUUCCUACGUGCGAUAUGCCCAGAUUGUUUCAAGCCAGCCAAAAACAAACAGUCAGUAUUCACUAGAAUGGCAGUUAUGAAAGCUUUGAAUAAGAUUAAAGAAGAGGAUUUCCGCAAGCAGUUUCCUUGUCCUCCAAACUCACCAAAGGCUGUAUGCAGUGUUGUUGAAAUUGAAUGUGCUCAUGGUGCUGUUUUUGUGGCUGGGAGAUAUAAUAAAUACUCCAGGAAUCUACCACAAACUCCUUGGAUAAUUGAUGGAGAAAGGAAGCUGGACUCUUCAGUGGAAGAAUUAAUUUCAGACCAUCUUUUGACAGUGUUCAAAGCAGAGAGCUUUAAUUUUUCAUCCUCUGGGAGAGAAGAUGUAGAUGUGAGAACAUUAGGAAAUGGAAGGCCCUUUGCAAUUGAGCUGGUGAAUCCUCAUAGAGUACAUUUCACUUCACAAGAAAUUAAGGAACUUCAGCAGAAAAUUAAUAACUCGUCUAACAAAAUCCAAGUCCGUGACUUGCAGCUUGUCACAAGAGAGGCAAUAGGUCAUAUGAAAGAAGGUGAAGAAGAAAAGACCAAGACCUAUAGUGCCUUAAUAUGGACAAAUAAAGCAAUACAGAGGAAGGACAUUGAAUUCCUAGAUGACAUAAAGGACUUAAAGAUUGACCAGAAAACACCUUUACGGGUCCUUCACCGGAGGCCCCUGGCUGUGAGAACUCGCAUCAUUCACUCCAUGGAGACACACUAUGUGGAUGAGCACCAUUUCCGCCUCUACCUGAAGACUCAGGCAGGAACCUACAUUAAAGAGUUUGUACAUGGAGACUUUGGAAGAACGAAGCCGAACAUUUGCUCUCUGAUGGAUGUGACUGCAGACAUUCUUGAGCUGGAUGUUGAGUCUGUAGAUGUCGAUUGGCCCCCUGCUCUGGAUGACUAGCUUUCAAUGGGAAACAAAGAGUAGGGUUUUCCAGCAAAAUGUGGACGUCCAUUCAGCAUACACUGUUUCUUUUUGGCUUAGCUUUGAAUUUAGUGGAUCUGCAAAUGGAAGAAUUAAGAAUCUCCUUAGCAAACUUAAAUUAGAAGACUUGUUUCUUAAAUUUCUAUUCCUGGGAUUAUACAAAAUUUCAAGAGUAAGCAUUAGCUGCAAAUACUUAUUCCAAAUAUCCAUAUGAGACAUAGGUUGUUAAAAAUUAAUGUAGGUCUUUAUUUAAGCAGAACAGAAGACAUUAAGUCAUGAGAGUACUACAUAGUUUAACUUUUGCCUAUAUAAAAAUAUUUUUAAAUUACUUUUGUGAUCUUCUAUAGCUUAUUUAAAAAAAAAACAAAAAACAAGAAACACUUAAGAGAAAGGGCCCUUUGUACUUUUAGUAUCUUUUUGUCCCAAAUAUAGUCCGUGGUUUAGUUUAGGAAAAACACCGAGUACCUGGAAAAAUGGGGAAAAAAAAAUUUUGGUAAAAUGAAAAAUUUCCCAAGUAAGGUAACUGGUUUCAUUUACAAGUUAUAUGAAAUCAAUUUAGAAGUUAAAUUUCUGUUUCCAAAGAGAAAAAGGCAUCUUACUUAGAUCUUUUGGGGCUUUAUUCUUUGAUUUUUAAGUCCAUAUGAGAAUGAACUUUGAUGUAAGCUUUCCUGAGUUGAUUUUUUUAAAUGCUGCCCUUUAUUAUUAUAGGGAAAAUAAAUUUUUCAAUCCAAUUUUUUCAUUUUGAAAUAAUUUCAGACUUGCAAGAAAAGUACAAAGAAUGUUUUUCCCAGAAAUGUAUCACCCUGAAUGCAUUAGUAAUUCCUACAAACAAGGACAAAUUCCGACAAACAAGGACAUUCUUCUACUUCCUCACAAUGUAACUAUCAAAAUCAGAUUAACACUAACAUUACUAUUAUGUAAUCCACAGGACC